UGGGGAAUAUUGGACAAUGGGCGCAAGCCUGAUCCAGCCAUGCCGCGUGGAUGAUGAAGGCCCUAGGGUUGUAAAGUCCUUUCGGCGGGGAAGAUAAUGACGGUACCCGCAGAAGAAGCCCCGGCUAACUUCGUGCCAGCAGCCGCGGUAAUACGAAGGGGGCUAGCGUUGCUCGGAAUCACUGGGCGUAAAGCGCACGUAGGCGGACUCUUAAGUCGGUGGUGAAAUCCUGGAGCUCAACUCCAGAACUGCCUUCGAUACUGAGAGUCUCGAGUCCGGGAGAGGUGAGUGGAACUGCGAGUGUAGAUGUGAAAUUCGUAGAUAUUCGCAAGAACACCAGUGGCGAAGGCGGCUCACUGGCCCGGUACUGACGCUGAGGUGCUAAAGCGUGGGGAGCAAACA
rnacentral:rRNA from 2 species